rnacentral:lncRNA from 1 species
GGGUAUCGUUUGGUGAUGUGUUAUAUAUUUGUAUUUUGUUAAUGUUUUUGUACACAUCAAUUAGACAGUUAAUUUUUUUCAUUUGAAUAGUUUUACAUUUUUCCUUUCAAUUUUUGCCUCUGCAGUAUGGGAUUUCCUCAUGUUUGAAGGCCGUAUGGUGACCUAUUGGUGUUAAUAUCUGUGUCAUUUUUGUCUCUUGUGGAGAGUUGUCCAAUUGAAAAUUAUACCACAACUUCUUUAUGUAUUAGGUACCAAGCUGGAAUUUUCUUUUUUUUAAAUAAUAAAGUGUUCAUUAUCUAACAACCAG